ACACAAACAAAGGAUUGUGAGACGCUGAGAGAGGGAGAGAGGAAGAGCUAUAAAUAAGGACCAAAGUCAAAAUGAAAAAGCAUCAGACCACUUGUAGAAAACCCCAUGUGCAUUCACUUUAGUGAACCAGCUUCAGAGCACUGUAGCUUCUUUGCAAGAAAGAGCCAGAAUCUGGAGGCACUGAGUAUAAAGGACUUAAAAGUGUGCGUUAAGAGAACUAAUCUUUUGACUACAUAGAAUAGCGCAAUAAAAUUUUCCUCAAAUCUUCUCAAGAGCAAAAGCAGUACUUUCUUUUGUUGAACCUCCCCAACCAGCUAAACCAAGAAGUUUUAUACUUUGCCCAGGAUUUCUCUUGGCAGCCAAGAAGUUAAAGUGUUGCUGAGGCCUGCUAUCUAGGCAGUAUCUAUUUAAUAAUGCACAAAUGAAUAAAGCAAUAAAACAAAUGAAAAAA